rnacentral:rRNA from 1 species
UACGUAGGGUGCAAGCGUUGUCCGGCAUUAUUGGGCGUAAAGAGCUCGUAGGCGGUUCGUCGCGUCGGCUGUGAAAACCCGAGGCUCAACCUCGGGCCUGCAGUCGAUACGGGCGGACUGGAGUUCGGCAGGGGAGACUGGAAUUCCUGGUGUAGCGGUGAAAUGCGCAGAUAUCAGGAGGAACACCGGUGGCGAAGGCGGGUCUCUGGGCCGAUACUGACGCUGAGGAGCGAAAGCGUGGGGAGCGAACAGG